rnacentral:piRNA from 1 species
UCCUGAUCCACAGGCAGCAGGUUGAGCGACU